rnacentral:rRNA from 1 species
GCUAAGCCCUAAACAUUGAUGGCUAUCAAUACAAAACCAUCCGCCAGAGAACUACAAGUGAAAAACUUAAAACUCAAAGGACUUGACGGUGUCCCAUACCGACCUAGAGGAGCCUGUCCUAUAAUCGAUACCCCCCGUUCCACCCAACCUCAACUAGCAAAAACAGCCUAUAUACCGCCGUCGACCAGCCUACCCCAUGAGGGUUUAACAGUAGACACAAUAGCCCCCCCGCUAAUACGUCAGGUCAAGGUGUAGCAAAUGUUGAGGAAGAGAUUGGCGACAUUUUUUAUGAUAAAAAAUACGAAAAGCACUAUGAAAUCGUGCAUGAAGGUGAAUUUAGUAGUAAAAUAAACAAGAGAGUUUAUUUAACAACGCUCUGGGACGCGUACACACCGCCCGUCACCCUCCUCAACAACAAAAAUAUCUUUAAUAAAAUAAAAAAGAAAACCAGAGGAGGC